rnacentral:rRNA from 1 species
UACGGAAGGCAGCAGUGGGGAAUAUUGCACAAUGGGCGAAAGCCUGAUGCAGCGACGCCGCGUGAGGGAUGACGGCCUUCGGGUUGUAAACCUCUUUCAGCAGGGAAGAAGCCACAAGUGACGGUACCUGCAGAAGAAGCGCCGGCUAACUACGUGCCAGCAGCCGCGGUAAUACGUAGGGCGCAAGCGUUGUCCGGAAUUAUUGGGCGUAAAGAGCUCGUAGGCGGUUUUGUCGCGUCUGCUGUGAAAGCCCGGGGCUUAACCCCGGGUGUGCAGUGGGUACGGGCAGACUAGAGUGCAGUGGGGGAGACUGGAAUUCCUGGUGUAGCGGUGGAAUGCGCAGAUAUCAGGAGGAACACCGGAUGGCGAAAGGCAGGGUCUCUGGGCUGGUUACUGACGCUGAGGGAGCGAAAGCAUGGGGAGCGGAACAGGGAUUAGAUACC